GAUGAACGCUGGCGGCGUGCUUAACACAUGCAAGUCGAACGGACUUUACAUGAAGCCUAGCGAUUGUAAAGUUAGUGGCGGACGGGUGAGUAACGCGUGAAUAACCUGCCUUAUACUGGGGGACAACAGUUGGAAACGACUGCUAAUACCGCAUAAGCGCACUAAAGCUGCAUGGCUCAGUGUGAAAAACUCCGGUGGUAUAAGAUGGAUUCGCGUCUGAUUAGCUAGUUGGUGGGGUAACGGCUCACCAAGGCGACGAUCAGUAGCCGGCCUGAGAGGGUGAACGGCCACAUUGGGACUGAGACACGGCCCAA
rnacentral:rRNA from 1 species